CCUACGGGGGGCUGCAGUAAGGAAUAUUGGUCAAUGGACGAAAGUCUGAACCAGCCAUCCCGCGUGCAGGAUGAAAGCCCUAUGGGUUGUAAACUGCUUUUAGCAGAGAAGAAAAGCUUUCAUUAAUGAGAGUCUGACGGUAUCUGCAGAAUAAGCACCGGCUACCUCCGUGCCAGCAGCCGCGGUAAUACGGAGGGUGCGGGCGUUAUCCGGAAUUACUGGUUUUUAGGGGGAGUAAUAAGUAGGAGUUGAAAUCUUGUCGCUUAGCGAUAAAAUUGCCAAUGAUACUGGUACUCUUGAAUUGGGUUGAGGUUAGCGGAAUGUGACAUGUAGCGGUGAAAUGCAUAGAUAUGUCAUGGAACACCAAUUGCGAAGGCAGCUAACUGGGCCUUGAUUGACGCUGAGGCACGAAAGCGUGGGUAGCGAACAGGAUUAGAUACCCUAGUAGUC
rnacentral:rRNA from 1 species